rnacentral:RNase_P_RNA from 2 species
UCGCUGGGCGGAACGGUUACCCCGCAAUACUGCGGGGAGGAAAGUCCGAACACCCUAAUUGUUCUUAACAAUUAGAAGAAAGUAAUGGAUAACGUCCACCUUGCGAUAAGCGAUUAUCGCAACGGGAUAGUGCCACAGAGACAAUACUAACCAUUGCUCCGCAAUGGUAAAAGGUGAAAAGUGUGGAGAUGUAAUGAGUAAAAUCUGCCUAAAGCAAAUUUUACUCCCAACUGCUUCACUCAACUGUUAGCGAUAACAGUUCGUGGAAAACCCUACUUGGUGCAAGGCCGAGCCCCGCAAUAUUGCGGGGAGUGCCGCUUGAGGUUUGCAGUAAUGCAAAUCCCAGAUAAAUUACCGUUCGCUCCUCACUUUCGUUCGGAGCUGGAAUAAUCACGAAUACACAAAUUAGUAUAUUUGCGUACAUUCGUAUAUUAGCGAUUACUCCAUAGCGACGAGCGGAAGCGAGGAGCGAUAAACAGAAUUCGGCUUACCAGCCCGGCAAAAUC